AAUGUAUGUACAUGUAAAUUUGUCGUUUUAGUUUUCACUUUAUUUGUACACAUUUGUUAAUGUAGAACAACUGACAUUGAAGCGCAAAAAAUUUGAUGUUUCUGGUUGCUACAACUCAGAGGCAAAAUGAAAUGAAAACAAUUUGGCUGUGGAUGGAAAUGAAGUUUUUAAUAUGUUAAAAACUAUUUCUGCACAAUUAGAAGUAUUGACGACAAGAGUAUUCAAUAUGGAGAAAAAGAUGGACAGCUAUAUGAAAGAAAAUGUAAGUUUAUAUUGUUCUAUAAGUAUUCAUCAAUAUAGAGAACGUAUUGUUUUGUUAUUGUAUCCUCUAACUGCAUACAUACAUAAAAGACAAUUCAUAAAAGCGAAGAAAUGGCCCAACAAAAAACUGUGCGCGAAUGUAAGGUUUUAAUUAGAAAUUCACCAUUCAGUAUGCCGACUGACUGGUGAAGAAAUAGAUAGUAUGCAAACCGAAGUUGCCUCCACGCUACCAAUAACAACGAUAGCUGCAGCAUUGGAAAUGGACGAGAAACUGAAAUGCGAGGAAUUUGCUACUGCAACGAAACAAUUUAUUUUAAAAACAAAGGGAAAUUCAGAUAAUUUACAUGAUGUGCUGAGACAUAUAUACACUGACGAAUUUUUGUUUUUGUGUAACUGGGACGGUAGAGGAGGGAAACAACCCCUAUCGAAAUUUCUACUG